GAAAGAGAGGAGGGACAAAACUUGAUUUUGCGGUUGGCGCUCCAUCAGGAAACUUCUCCGCAAUAGGCAGCGCCUUCUCCCAGCUUUCUCCUGCCCUCUCUUCGUACUGGAAGCAGUUCAGUAAUCACUCACCUGUGUGCAAUCUGAUGUUUACUCACUGACUACUUAAGGAGAGUUCUACUUAAGAGUUCCUUCAGUUGCUGCAUCUAUUGUGAUGAUUCGAGUCAUGGUGGAUAUGUGGAGAGAAACGUGUUUGGAAAAAGGGAGGUCUGUGGAGAGGAAGAUUCAGAAAAGGGAAAGCUGUGUAGAAACUGACUUGUUAUUCAUUGAUGCUUCCCGCCCAGAAAGAAGACAUUCAAACCGUUUUCUAGUUGCAGUUCAAUCUUUAUUGCCUGUGAAAACAUCUGUGUGCAAACUAAAUCAGCUGAACUUUUAUUUUUGGUGUCUAAGUCUAAUUGUCAGUUCAUGACAACUGAACUUUGUUUCCAUGCCCAGUGACAAGUGCAAAACAUUCAUAUUGUGCACAACAACAGUAAUUAUUGCAUUAUUACUGUGUGAUUUUCGUAUUUAUAAUAUAAAGCAGUCGACAUGGGAAAAAUGCUAUAGAGGAUUUUUACCAAUGGAAAGUGAGAAUAAAAACAGGCUUUCUGUGGAGUUCCACAUUAUUGCCACAAUUACACUGAACCUGCCACACCUAGGAACAAGACCCCAAUAUUUUUUCCUUCGCUUUGGGGACUGAAUUUGCCAUUUUUGAGUUUCCUUUGCCCAAGCCUCAAAGGUGCUGAGUCUUAUUUCAACACCUGGUACUGUGCACUAGAAGCCUUGGCAGACAUGGUCUAAUGAAGCCAUGUAGUAGCAGUACUACAUUGUCUGUAAAAUGUAUCCAAUACUUCAUACCAUACUGCUAUCCUAUUAUCACUACAUUGGCCCAGCAGCCUCCAGCUAGGCCUUGAUCAAAAACACUGCUAUGUGCAGUAUUUCCAUCUUUCACUCCAUAAAGAAAUCAACACCAGAAAUUCCUGGGCCAAGCAUUUUGGAACAUGUUUUUGCAAGGGAUCAGAUCAUCAAACAAAUUUUAAUAUUAGACAAAGACGACCCAAAUAAAUACAAGUAAAAUCUGUAAAUGAUGAUUUUGUUGAUUAAAGUUUUAAAGCUAUCCAAAUUCAAUCAGCUGUAAUUGCUCAAAUGUAAAUGCUCACUAGACCUAAUAACUGGUUGUGUCAGCCUUGGCAGAAACAACUGCAAAGAUUAGCAGUAGCCGGCCGUGAGACUUUCACAUCACUGUGGAGGAAUUUUGUUUUUUUGUGCAGAAUUGUUUUAAUUCAUUCAUUCAUGAAGAGCCUCUUUAAGGUCAUGCCUUCAUUUGGCUUUUUUGAGUCAUUCAGAGGUAGAAUUGCUAGUGUGUUUCAGAUCAUUGUUCUGCUGCAUGAAUCACGACCAUCAUUUUAUUUUACGCCAGAUGUAAUAGUACGCAAACCUUCAAAAAAGUUCAGCUUCUUCAUUAUCAGUCCUUAGAGCAUUUUCUCAUAAUUUUUAGUUAUUUACAUUUUUGUUUUUUUGGAAAAUGUGAGACGAGCAAUUGUUCUUUUUGGUCAGCAGUGGUUUUCUCCUUGGAAGUUGCCUUUGUUUGCUAUUUGUUUUGUCUCCUUCUUGAAUCGUGAACGCGAAUGUAACCCUACUUACGGUUUAUUAUCAAGAAUGACCAAACUCCCACUAGGCCAGUAUCAGAUAAUCUAGGAUCAGCAGGAGCCCAAGGUAUAAACAUCAAAGUACAAAAUGUACUGAAAGCAAUAAAAUAAAAUACAAAAUAUUUCCCCCCAAAAUAACAAACUAAAUAAAAGUGCGUGCAUACAGCUUUAUCUGAGUCAAAUGUAUGAAUGAACAAUGUCUGGUAACUGAUGGAUCGUUGGGGCCCAUUCAGUUUGUUUAACGUUUGUCCUGCCACACUCCAGUGAAGGAAGAAAGUUCGUAGUCCUGCAGGUAUCUGAAGCUUCAAUGGGAACGAAGCUCUCGCUUCAACAAAACCUCAGCAAAUCCUAUUCACUUUUGGGUUGGCUCGCCAUCCAGUUAACUGGAACUGUGGAAUCGCUGCUCCUCGAUGGAGGCUUGCUUCAGACUGGGUUCGUCUGUCGAGUCAUCCUUUUACCAGAUAACAAAAAAAACCUGACCGAUGAACAGGGUGAAUUUAUGAACGACCAAAAAAAUUUGCUCGCUAGCAAUUCGGCUUCUGUAACAUUAUUUUGUCGAGCACAUGGCAUUGUAUGAACAAGAACGAAAUGGCAACUACGGAAAGUCAUGUGAUCAAGGUCAACAGUAGGGGUCCUGGGAGCUCAGUGCUGAUUGGCCAAGUUACACAACAACAAAUAAUCUUAUUUGUCCACAUCUUCCUUUAAACAAAAGAAAAAAAGAAAUGACCAAAUUGUUUACAUCAUACACCCAAAUUUACUUUUCACUGCUCUUUUUUUUCUAACUGGGCUACACUAACCUUAACUAAGGGAAGUGAAGCCUGCAGUUCUUUCCUGUUUUUCCGAGUAUUUGGAUGGAUGGAUGGAUGGAUGGAUGGAAUGAUGAGGGUUCAGUGCACUCUUUGGAAUAGUUUUGGUAGACCAGCCACUGGUAGGAAGGUUCACCACUGUUCCAUGUUUUCUCUAUUUGUGGAUAAUGGCUCUCAUUAAGAUUCACUGGAGUCCCAAAGCUUUAGAAAUGGCUUUGUAACCUUUUCCAGACUGACGAUGUAAAUGACUUUGUUUCGCAGCUGUUCUUGACUUUGUAGAUUGUGGCAUGAUGUGUUGCUUUUUGAGAUCUUUUUUAGUCUGCCCCACUUUGUCAGACAGGUUCUGUUAAGUGAUUCAGCAGGUCUGGCAAUCACAGUUAAUUUGUGAUUUAACAAGGCAGUGCAAUUACUUGGUUUUUUUUAAAAUACGGCAUAUCUUUUUUCUUUUCACAAAUGAAAUUAUUAUUUAAAAAAUGCAUGUUGUAUUUACUCAGGUUAUCUUUGUAUGAUAUUAAAAUGAGUUUAAUCUGAAACGUGUGACAAAUGUGGGAAAAAAGAAAUCAGGAAGGAGACAAAUACUUUUUCAUAGCAUUUCAAAUAAAAAUAGAUGGCUUCCCUAUUAAAUAAAAUAACAUCUAAACAACAGCAAAUAAAUGAUAUAAAACAGGAACAUCUUUAACUAUAAUGUGCAAUUAAGUAGUUCCUCAGUAGUUCCAAUUUAGUAGCUCUGUGAGGGGUUUUUUUUUUUGAAAAUGUCUUUGUGCAACAGCAAUGCACAUUGUUGCAUUGCUGUCCACUGUUUGUCACAGUGGACAAACUGGACAAACAGUGACCCCACAUUGUACAUUGAAACCCCGACCAGGAUGCAGUCUAAUUAAAGCACAUAGUUUAAAAUAGAAGCAAUGUGACAUGACUUAUUUAGCAGAUUUUGCCAAAUGAUGUCAGACCAGAUAAUUAAACUCUGAAGCUGAUAAUGAUCUGAGCAAGACAGUUUCCCAAACUCUGAUCAGUUUAACAAGGUUAAUAAUUCAUGGAAACUCAAAUGCCAGUAACAUUAGCUCCAAUUUUGUUUUGGUCUGUGUGGUUUCUGUAGCAGCCGUGGAUGCACAGCAGGUCAUGGUGGCAAGCUGAACCAUCAUCAACCUUGGCAGCAAUGACAAAAUACCUGUAAGCAUUCAUGAGACCUCCAGCCACCAUCUCUCCACUUGAAAGCAACCCAUGUGGCAGGAAGUCUGUGUCUGAAAGUGUACUCCUGGAUAUACAGGUUUGGUUUUUACAUGAUCAGACAGUGUGUCUUAUGAGCUAGUUCCAAACAAAUUUAGAGUGGGACUUCUUGACAUGAGACUUAAUACUAGUCUGUUAAAAAAAAAGCUGAAUUGGUCAAAUACUUAAAGUCAAAAAGAUAAGCAAGUGUUCUUGUAAUUUCUUUAAGGAGUCUUCAGGAAUAUUUCUCCAGGCUUCUUGUGAGACAUUCAAAGCUCUUCUUUUGAUGUUGGCUGCCUUUUAUUUUGUUCUUUGUCUACAGAUCCCACACUACUUCAGAAAUGUUGAGGUCUUGGCUCUGGGACUAAUAGCACUCUAUUGUUUGUUUUUCUAUCUAGUUAUGCUUUUACUGCACUUGCAGUGUUGGAAUCAUUGUCAUGCUGAAGCUAUUGUCAAUCUGAAACUUUCUAGAUAGUAUUGCAUGGUGGAUCAAAAUCUGACUGUACUUUUCUGACCUUAUAAUUUUAUAAAAUUUCACCAAUGGCUCAAACUAUGUAUUACAGACAGCGGUAGACACUCACCUCUCUUCUGACCUCCUCUAUCCAUGCUAAAGAUGUUUUGAACCAAAAAUUUGGAUUCAUCAUUUCAUUAUACUGGUUGCCGCUGAUUUUCAGUCCACUUUCUGUGUAAUUUGGCAUACCUCAGCCUUUUCCCCCUGUUCCACUUCCUUAAGAGUGGUCAUUUCUGGUGAAGUUCAGCUUGAUCAACUUAAGGGCAAGCUGCAUUUUUCAGGUCCUGUGUCAGGCCUUUCUGGCACAGGAGCUGAUUAAUCCCAAUUUCUGAAGGACAUGACUUUCAGAUACAGUUCAUCUGCUCUGGAUAGUUUUUUGUUGUUGUUGUUUAUUCAAUCACUUCUUCUUUUUGUCCACUAUACUGUAUACUGUGCUGAGAUAUCCCAAGUCUUCUGCUAACAGCUCUUUGUGAAUCACCUUGUUGGUGCAAAAAUUUAAUUUUGUACCUGUCUGUGUUAUCUUUGGCUUCCGUUUUUUAAAAACAUACAAUUAAGGAUACAAUGGAUGAGAUCAUUCCCAGUUUUUUGUAAAAGUAUUGAAAACAUAUAAUGUCAGAUUAUUUGACAUUCAAGAACAAUAAAAAAAAUUUGGAGUAUAAGACACUGAAACCUCCUCUAAAAUGUUUAUUUCUUUUUGUCUCAUCUCUGUUGUCAUA